GACCUAGAGACCGGCGCACGGGUGCGUAACGCGUAUGCAAUCUACCUUUCACAAAGGGAUAGCCCAGAGAAAUUUGGAUUAAUACCUUAUAGUAAUACGACUUGGCAUCAAGAUGUAUUUAAAGAUUUAUCGGUGAAAGAUGAGCAUGCGUCCCAUUAGCUUGUUGGUAAGGUAACGGCUUACCAAGGCAACGAUGGGUAGGGGUCCUGAGAGGGAGAUCCCCCACACUGGUACUGAGACACGGACCAGACUCCUACGGGAGGCAGCAGUGAGGAAUAUUGGACAAUGGGCGCAAGCCUGAUCCAGCCAUGCCGCGUGCAGGAUGACGGUCCUAUGGAUUGUAAACUGCUUUUGUACAGGAAGAAACCCUUUCACGUGUGGAAGAUUGACGGUACUGUAAGAAUAAGGAUCGGCUAACUCCGUGCCAGCAGCCGCGGUAAUACGGAGGAUCCAAGCGUUAUCCGGAAUCAUUGGGUUUAAAGGGUCCGUAGGCGGUCAAGUAAGUCAGUGGUGAAAGCCCAUCGCUCAACGGUGGAACGGCCAUUGAUACUGCUUGACUUGAAUUAUUAGGAAGUAACUAGAAUAUGUAGUGUAGCGGUGAAAUGCUUAGAGAUUACAUGGAAUACCAAUUGCGAAGGCAGGUUACUACUAAUGGAUUGACGCUGAUGGACGAAAGCGUGGGUAGCGAACAGGAUUAGAUACCCUGGUAGUCCACGCCGUAAACGAUGGAUACUAGCUGUUGGGAGCAAUCUCAGUGGCUAAGCGAAAGUGAUAAGUAUCCCACCUGGGGAGUACGUUCGCAAGAAUGAAACUCAAAGGAAUUGACGGGGGCCCGCACAA
rnacentral:rRNA from 1 species